rnacentral:lncRNA from 1 species
AGAUGACAUUUGUCUGCCUAGGAGAAGUCACUGGUCAGAAGAAUGACAACAAUGUCAAUAUUUAAUCAGGAAAUUCUUUAAAAUCUUUAAUUUAUAUGUAAAUAUUUCAAAGAUAACACUUUUAUUUAUUCACAUAUUUAAAUAAAAGGAGAUUUAUUGUAUACCAAAGAUACAGCACCCAAAAAACUAUGAAAAAUAACCAC